AUUGAACGCUGGCGGCAUGCUUUACACAUGCAAGUCGAACGGCAGCGCGGGCUUCGGCCUGGCGGCGAGUGGCGAACGGGUGAGUAAUGCAUCGGAACGUGCCCAGUAGUGGGGGAUAGCCCGGCGAAAGCCGGAUUAAUACCGCAUACGACCUGAGGGUGAAAGCGGGGGACCGAAAGGCCUCGCGCUAUUGGAGCGGCCGAUGUCGGAUUAGCUAGUUGGUGGGGUAAAGGCUUACCAAGGCGACGAUCCGUAGCUGGUCUGAGAGGACGACCAGCCACACUGUGACUGAGACACGGCCCAGACUCCUACGGGAGGCAGCAGUAGGGAAUUUUGGACAAUGGGGGCAACCCUGAUCCAGCCAUGCCGCGUGCGGGAAGAAGGCCUUCGGGUUGUAAACCGCUUUUGUUCGGGAAGAAAUCCUCUGGGCUAAUACCCCGGGGGGAUGACGGUACCGGAAGAAUAAGCACCGGCUAACUACGUG
rnacentral:rRNA from 1 species